GACGAACCGUGCGAACGUUGUUCGGAAUCACUGGGCUUAAAGGGCGCGUAGGCGGCUCGCGAGGUCGGGGGUGAAAUCCCGCAGCUUAACUGCGGAAGGGCCUCCGAUACCGGCGGGCUGGAGGAAGGUAGGGGUGCGCGGAACUUCUGGUGGAGCGGUGAAAUGCGUUGAUAUCAGAAGGAACGCCGGCGGCGAAAGCGGCGCACUGGACCUUUUCUGACGCUGAGGCGCGAAAGCUAGGGGAGCAAACGGGG
rnacentral:rRNA from 1 species